CACCAGAAGGCCUGGCAGUUAAGAGAACCCAGUGAAGAAACCUUUUGCAGAGAGAGAAAAGAACCCUUUUGAAUGUGAUCAUUCACGCUGAUUUAUUUGGAUGAUUUCUCUUCUGGAUUUCCUUAAACCAGGGAAAACCCAGAUCACUAACCUCAGAAAUUCCAACUUAAGUCACCUGCCGGGCCUAAUUCCUCAUUUCAAGUCUUUACCUAAGGGCCGAUGUGGACGGUGUGUGCCCCGGACAGGUGUGUGGGUUGUGAACACACUGAAAUAGGUGCUCCCGUGAGUAAAGAGCUGCUGUCCUCAAGCAUGAUGAAUGCCCUCUUGUUGCUCCCGUUCUUUCCUGGAACCCUAUAAACUCUCCACACCCUGAUCUAGCAAUGAAAGGGUUAAUGCCUGGCCCAGCCCUGGGAGUGGUGGGUGGGGGCCUCCAGCUCUGCUGCUGCUGGGACUCUGCCAUGUUGGGUGGGAGGUGAGGUAUUUUGACUGUCACUCCUGGCAGUGGGGUUCAGACUCAGUGCACUGGAGAGCUGCAUUGAUGGGUUCCCCGCGAGGAAAGCUGUGUGAGGACGUGGCUGCUUCAGGAGAGUGAAGUACUGCUGCGGCUAAUCCUGAGGAGGCUGCAGGAGGCUGGGAAACUCAACACAGGGCACGUGAGUAGUGUUUGUGGCUCUACCUACAGAGAGCCUAGAGGUUCUGGGGGACAUAAGUAGAAAGAGAGGCAGAUGAUGUCACUGCCACAUAUGCACCCCUUCCAUGGCUGUCCACCUGCCCAGGAUAAUUAAACCCCUGGGCGUGGCAUCAGGCCCCCAGUCCUGGUCCUUGCCCGCUUCUCCACUCUCUCUGGCAGUCCUCCUGUUCACCAGCCCCUCCUCCGCCCUCCUCAGCCCUCCUCCCUCCUUGCACCAUGCUCUUCCCUCUACCUGGAAUGUCCUGCUCUUUAUUACUGAUGAGGGUCUACUCAUCCUUUAAGACCAAGGUUCUUGGCCAGGCGCGGUGGCUCAUGCCUGUAAUCCCAGCACUUUGGGAGGCCGAGGUGGGCAGAUCAUGAGGUCAGGAGAUCAAGAUCAUCCUGGCUAACACAGUGAAACCCCAUCUCUACUAAAAUUACAAAAAAUUAGCCAGGCGUGGUGGUGGGCGCCUGUAGUCCCAGCUACUUGGGAGGCUGAGGCAGGAGAAUGGCAUGAACCCGGGAGGUGGAGCUUGCAGUGAGCUGAGAUGGCGCCACUGCACUCCAGCCUGGGCGACAGAGCGAGACUCCAUCUCAAAAAAACAAACAAAAAAACAAGGUUCUCCUCUUCUAAAUUUUCUCCAACUCUUUUCCAAACAGCCCUGACCCCAGGGCCACCACUGCCCACCAUGGUGCUUUUGCAAGGUUCAGGAGACACCCAGAGAAGAGGCGUGGCAGAGGCAGCCCACCAAGGGUGCAGGCUGUUCUUGAAGCUCCCUCCCCCGUUCAGCGAGGGCCGGGACAGGGCACCAUCUGUACAGUGUCUGCCCUCGCCCUGCCGCUUGCUCUCGCAUUGCAGGCUGGCACCUGGUGGACCUCAGCAUUGCAUUUCCUGCCCUGCCUUGCAACCAUGGGUUUCCUUCUGUGCUUCCUCCCACUGGCCCAUGAGCUCUCCCAAGGCAGGGCCUGUGACGUUGGUUUCUGUAUCCCAAGUUGCUGUGAUAAGUAAUGUGGAUCCCAUGGGAAAAAAGUCUCCACAGUGCCGAGGCAGCCCCAGAGAAGAAGAGAUCAAUGGUGUUUGGGAAUGGAAACUCACUCAUAAUGUGCGGGAAGGGGGGAAUGGGCACACCUUGGACACCACGUGUCAUCUGGACCCACUUUAUAGAAGGGGAAAUUGCAGCUCAGACUAGCCUCAACCACUAGGGAUCCCUUGGCUUCUUGGGUGCAAGUCCUCCCUGCAGGACAUACAGACUGCAUCUUUCUGCCUCCCUGCCCGACCCUGCACCUCCUGAGUGCCAUCUUCAUAUCUGGGAGGCUGAGCUGGAAGUCAGCAGGCAGCCCCUCUGGCCAGGCUGUGCAGGAUGUGAUGUUCCAAACCACGCCCAGAUCUGCACCCUGAGGCCCCUCGUUGUGUGGGGUAGUGGGCAAUGCCCAGGUUUGGUGUCAGACAGGCAAGGUUCACACCUCAACGCUGCCAUUUCUAGUUAUGUGACCUUGGGAAGGUUACCUGCUUUUCCUGAGCCUUUGUUAUUAAAAAUUUAUUAUGAAAUUUCAUUUCAAAAUGCACUGUCUAAUAUGGUAGCCACUAAGCACACGUGGCUAUUGAAGGCUUGAAAUGUGAUGAGUCUGCAUUGAGAUGUGCCGCGAGUAUAACACACCUGGAUUUCCUCCCUCCCCAGGUGCAACAGUGACCUGUGACGCAGUAGGGAGGGCUGUUUUCCAUGCCCAGUGAGGCCUGCUCAGCUCCCAUGAGGCCUUUAUGGAUGGCCUGCCUCCCAACUGGUACCUGGUCCCAUCACAGUCCCAGACUCUAGACCUCAAGGCAGCCAGGAGUUUCUAUGUCUGGUCCUGCCACCGACUGCACCUGCAUUGCUGCGUGACCUUGACAGCUACUCCUUCCACACCUGAACAUCCUCAUCUGGAAACUGGACUUGCCUUCUAGGGUUCCUGCAAAUAUAAAAUGAGCUAACACCUUUGAGGUGUUUGGUAUAGUCCUGGCACUUGGCAAAUAAUAAUAAAUAUUAGCGAUCACUUGCGAGGGGGUG